AACGAACGCUGGCGGCAGGCCUAACACAUGCAAGUCGAACGAGUGGCGGACGGGUGAGUAAUGUCUGGGAAACUGCCCGAUGGAUGGGGAUAACUACUGGAAACGGUAGCUAAUACCGUAUACCAUGGGAUGUGCCCAGAGGGGAUUAGCUAGUAGGUGGGGUAACGGCUCACCUAGUCGACGAUCCAUAGCUGGUCUGAGAGGAUGACCAGUCCCACUGGAACUGAGACACGGUCCAGACUCCUACGGUAGGCAGCAGGUGGGAAUAUUGCACAAUGGGCGCAAGCCUGAUGCAGCCAUGCCGCGUGUAUGAAGAAGGACUUCGGGUUGUAAAGUACUUUCAGCGAGGAGGCGUUACUCACAGAAGAAGCACCGGCUAACUCCGUGCCAGCAGCCGCGGUAAUAC
rnacentral:rRNA from 1 species